GCUGAUACUAAUCCAAACUUGUUCACUCACGUGUUUGUUUAAUUAACAAAUAUUUAUCGAGCACCUGCAAUGAGUUAUGUACUAUAAUAGAUGCUAGGGCACAGUCAGGGAUGAAACAGACAGAAGUCCUUGUCUCCAUGGAGCUGACAUUCUGGUUGGGGGAGGCAGCCAUUAGGUGAAAUGAAUAAGUAAACUGUAGACUGUAAUAGCAACAGGUGUGGCGGAGAAGAAUGAAGUGGAGAUGGAGUUGUCAGGUGAGAGCUGCAAUUUGAAAUUGAAAUUCCAGGGAGGAUACACAGAGGGAAAACCUGAAGUUGAGGACGUCAGGUGAGCUGCUACCUGGGGGCAGGGAGCUCCCGGGGAAGGCUUGUACGUUCCAGGACAGGCAUCUGGGCGCUGUGUGGCUGCAUUGUGGUGGGCUGGGGAGAGGUAGGUCCUGAGACCUGAGAGGUGACAGCCCAAAAUCCUGUAGGAUCCCAGAGGCCAUAGCUGGGACUCAGCUUUUCCUCCAGGUGGGCUGGAAAGCACUGGAGGGUGGUGGACAGAGGAUGGCGUGGUCGGAUUGCAGCGGGAUUCCGUGCGUCCCCUGGCUGCCCUGUGCAGAAGGAAAGGUGCAGCGCAAGGCGGGAGCCGGGAGAACAGGGAGAGAGGCUGGAGGCUUGGUCCAGGCUGGGGGCAGUGGGAACAGCGAGCAGGCGCUGGAUCUGGGACAUAGUCAUGGUGCUCAGCUGCUGCAAGGAAGUCAUUUUAUUUUUAGCCCAGUUAUAACGAUGAAUGAAGUAGGGAUGCAGAAAGGUUAAGGUCACUUUGCUAAAAGGCGCUAUGUGUGGCGCCCACCCAACCCAUGCACCUAUCCCUCUCCAGGAGUGAGUCUCCCAUGGGCAGGCAUGUGCCCCUCACUGGGCACACUGGGUCCUGACACGCAGUGGGAACUCAGCGCUGUUAAAUGUGGAUUUCACUGAGCCCCACAGGCAGCCCUUUAGGACCUCGGCCCAAGGUCAUUCUGGCCAAAGGCCGCUAGAGGGCAGCGGUGCUUUUCCCUCUGCAUGAAGUUUGGGACAACGUCCGCAGUCAGCCUCGUCUGGUCCCAGGUCACCACUGAGGGCCUUGCAACUUAAGGGACAGGAACACGAUCGGUGAGCACCACCAACCCCAACCCCUUGCCCAAGCCAGGGGAAAGGACCCAGGAGGGAGGCUGGACAGGGCCGUGGAGAACCACAGCAUGAUCCCCUCCUGGGUCCCCUACUUACACCUGGGAAAGCAGGCAGAGAAGGAGGAAGGGGUUUGCCUAGGUUACCCCGGGGACUCGCUGCUAGACCCACACCAGCCCUUCUCCCAGGCGACCUUUCCUGUGACCCCAGGGACUUCCGUCAGCACAGCUGACCCUGGAAGGCUGUGGGGUUGGGUGUGCUGGGUGCACCAGGUUAGAUCAGUGUCCUGAGAACGUCCCUCUGGGUGGAGGAGAGGUGGGUGCAGGGGCCCCGAACAGUCGGAGAGGAACCUGGCUGAAGCAGCCUGCUGGCAGGUCCUGGCCUACGUUUUAUGCCCAGACUGGAGGGCAAUAAUUGUGAAAGGCAAACAAUGUUAAGUUUCUCAGCUUCAGUUAUUGGUGGCAUUAACGAGCAUAGAUCGAUUUUUAAGAAUCUACAUACCACUGCAACUUGACCUUGGAGAAUCGUUAAUCACUUUAGAAAUGCACAUAGAGAGGUCACACUGAUGCUUUGUGUAAAAAAUCCCCGCCUAAAUAGUUGCUAGCAGAGAACCUCAUUUGCAAGCGUAAAUCUGUUUAUAAUUAAUCACGUUUGGCAAGGCUCCCCCUCCACAGCCUGGCUGGCUUCGGGGCCUCUGGCUUUUGCUGUCGAUGCUCAUGCUCGAUGUAUCCAGGCCAAGCUUUCACUCUUCCCCUGAGCUAUACCACAUUUUCCCUGACCCUUUUCCUGAGAGGCAAUGCCUGUCCAGGCCCUGCUCAGGCUCAAUCUGUCUGCCGCCAGCCUUGCCUCCCUGCUUCCCGGGGGCACCCUCCUGAGGACAGUUGCUACCAUCGGUGGUGAACCAUUGGUGUGUGCCAGCCUCUUCUCCAAAUGUUCUCCACGAAAUAACUUACAUGGCUCUUCACGCAACUCUAUUCAGUAGGUAUUAUUAUGAACCCCAUUUUACAGAUGUGGAAACUGAAGCCAAGAGAUGCUUCGAGGAGUCAGCGUCAGGAUUUAAACCCAGACUUCUGGUUCAAUUUAAACCCAGUUUUGUCCUAAUGCUCUCCCUCCCCUUGCUCUCCACCCACUGACAGGCCCCAGGCCCCGGUGUGUGAUGUUCC
rnacentral:lncRNA from 1 species